rnacentral:rRNA from 1 species
GAUGAACGCUGGCGGCGUGCCUAAUACAUGCAAGUCGAGCGAACAGAUAAGGAGCUUGCCCCUUUGACGUUAGCGGCGGACGGGUGAGUAACACGUGGAUAACCUACCUAGAAGGCUGGGAUAACUUCGGGAAACCGGAUCUAAUACCGGAUAACAUAUUGAACCGCAUGGUUCAAUAGAGAAAGGCGGCUUUGCUGUCACUUAUAGAUGGAUCCGCGCCGGAUUAGCUAGUUGGUAAGGUAACGGCUUACCAAGGCAACGAUACGUAGCCGACCUGAGAGGGUGAUCGGCCACACUGGAACUGAGACACGGUCCAGACUCCUACGGGAGGCAGCAGUAGGGAAUCUUCCGCAAUGGGCGAAAGCCUGACGGAGCAACGCCGCGUGAGUGAUGAAGGUCUUCGGAUCGUAAAACUCUGUUAUCAGGGAAGAACAAAUGUGUAAGUAACUGUGCACAUCUUGACGGUACCUGAUCAGAAAGCCACGGCUAACUACGUG